rnacentral:rRNA from 1 species
UAGGGAAUCUUCGGCAAUGGGGGCAACCCUGACCGAGCAACGCCGCGUGAGUGAAGAAGGUUUUCGGAUCGUAAAGCUCUGUUGUAAGAGAAGAACGUGUGUGAGAGUGGAAAGUUCACACAGUGACGGUAACUUACCAGAAAGGGACGGCUAACUACGUGCCAGCAGCCGCGGUAAUACGUAGGUCCCGAGCGUUGUCCGGAUUGAUUGGGCGUAAAGCGAGCGCAGGCGGUUUAAUAAGUCUGAAGUUAAAGGCAGUGGCUUAACCAUUGUUCGCUUUGGAAACUGUUAAACUUGAGUGCAGAAGGGGAGGGUGGAAUUCCAUGUGUAGCGGUGAAAUGCGUAGAUAUAUGGAGGAACAACGGUGGCGAAAGCGGCUCUCUGGUCUGUAACUGACGCUGAGGCUCGAAAGCGUGGGGAGCAAACAGG